AUAGCAAAUUAGAAGUUCAGUUAAUGACAGGAGUUGAGUCCAGCAGCAUGUUAUUAGUUUGCUUUACAUACUUUUCAAUGAUGCUUGGGCUUAUUCAUGGAGAUCAUAUAAACUGUCACUGCAAAUACAUACCCAAAAUAGGAUGGGCAGGGUUAUUUUUGGCCCCAUCUGGAUGUGCAAUAGUACAACCACCGCCUCCUGGAUUCAAAUGUGAAUGUUCUUACAUAUUUUUAUGGACAUGCAGUGGAUCUGUCCAGAAAUGUGACAAUGAACUAAUGUGCCUGGAUCCAAGUACAUCUAAGGAUUAUUGUGUAGGAGAGUGUAGUGGAUACUACCAAUGAUUACAAUCCCAAUCUAUCAAUUUUAUGAUAUGGAAUAUUUGUAAUGUACUAAUAAACAUAAAAUAAAUAUUUUUAAUUUGA